rnacentral:rRNA from 1 species
UGCUCAUGCUUUGCAUGGGCUUUUGCCAAGGAGUAAAUAUCUUGGCGAAUAAGUGGUGGGUAAGACGGGUGCCAGCCGCCGCGGUAACACCUGCGCCACGAGUGGCAAUCAUGUUUAUUGGGCCUAAAGCGUUCGUAGCCGGAUCUAUAAGUCUUGGGUGAAAUCGUUGCGCUUAACAAAACGAAUUGCUUGAGAUACUGUUGAUCUUGGGACCGGGAGGCGUUAAGGGUAUUUCUGAGGGAGCGGUAAAAUGUUGUAAUCUCAGGAGGACCACCUGUGGCGAAGGCGCUUAACGAGAACGGGUCCGACGGUGAGGAACGAAAGCUAGGGGAGCAAAACGGAUUAGAUACCCGAGUAGUCCUAGCCGUAAACGCUGUGUACUAGAUGUUGCAUAUUUUUCGUGAAUGUGCAGUGUCGGAGCGAAGGUAUUAAGUACACCGCCUGGGGAGUACGGUCGCAAGGCUGAA